GACGAACGCUGGCGGCGUGCUUAACACAUGCAAGUCGAACGGAAAGGCCCUGCUUUUGUGUGGUGCUCGAGUGGCGAACGGGUGAGUAACACGUGAGUAACCUGCCCUUGACUUUGGGAUAACUUCAGGAAACUGGGGCUACCACAGAAUAGCUGAGCGUGCUGCUGGGGGGGGUUCGGAAAUUUCGGUCGUUGGGGAUUGUAGUCCGGGUUAGCAGGUUGGUGGGGGGGGAGUGGCCUAACAAGGCCUUGGAGGGUUGGCCGCCUGAGAGGGUGGACCGCCACAAGGGGACUGCGAUACGGCGCAGACUCGUACGGGAGGCAGCGGUGGGGAGUAUUGCACAAUGGGGGGAAGCCUGAUGCAGAAGCGCCGCGUGCGGGAUGACGGCCUUCGGGUUGUAAACCGCAUUCGCCUGUGACGAAGCGUGAGUGACGGUAAUGAGUAAAGAAGCACCGGCUAACUACGUG
rnacentral:rRNA from 1 species